AACGUCUCAGUUCGGAUUGUAGUCUGCAACUCGCUACAUGAAGCUGGAAUCGCUAGUAAUCGCGAAUCAGAAUGUCGCGGUGAAUACGUUCCCGGGUCUUGUACACACCGCCCGUCACACCAUGGAGUUGGUAACGCCCGAAGUCAGUGACCUAACCGAGAGGGAGGAGCUGCCGAAGGCGGGACUGAUAACUGGGGUGAAGUCGUAACAAGGUAGC
rnacentral:rRNA from 1 species